UACAGAGGUCCCAAGCGUUGUUCGGAUUCAUCGUGGCGUAAAGGGUGCGUAGGUGGUGCGGUAAGUCGGGUGUGAAAUCUUGGAGCUUAACUCCGAAAAUCUCAUUCGAUACUGCCGUGCUUGAGGACUGGAGAGGAGACUGGAAUUUAGGUGUAGCGUGAAAUGCGUAGAUAUCAUAGGAAGACCAGUGGCGAAGGCGGGGUCUCUGGACAGUUCCUGACACUGAGGCACGAAGGCCAGGGGAGCAAACGGG
rnacentral:rRNA from 1 species